rnacentral:rRNA from 1 species
UGGGGAAUUUUGGACAAUGGGGGAAACCCUGAUCCAGCCAUCCCGCGUGUGCGAUGAAGGCCUUCGGGUUGUAAAGCACUUUUGGCAGGAAAGAAACGUCAUGGGUUAAUACCCCGUGAAACUGACGGUACCUGCAGAAUAAGCACCGGCUAACUACGUGCCAGCAGCCGCGGUAAUACGUAGGGUGCAAGCGUUAAUCAGAAUUACUGGGCGUAAAGCGUGCGCAGGCGGUUCGGAAAGAAAGAUGUGAAAUCCUAGAGCUCAACUUUGGAACUGCAUUUUUAACUACCGGGCUAGAGUGUGUCAGAGGGAGGUGGAAUUCCGCGUGUAGCAGUGAAAUGCGUAGAUAUGCGGAGGAACACCGAUGGCGAAGGCAGCCUCCUGGGAUAACACUGACGCUCAUGCACGAAAGCGUGGGGAGCAAACAGG